rnacentral:misc_RNA from 1 species
GAUGAAGAACGUAGCGAAAUGCGAUAAGUAGUGUGAAUUGCAGAAUUCAGUGAAUCAUCGAAUCUUUGAACGCACAUUGCGCCCCUUGGUAUUCCAUGGGGCAUGCCUGUUCGAGCGUCAUUUGUACCUUCAAGCUCUGCUUGGUGUUGGGUGAUUAUCUAUCUUUAUAGACUCGCCUUAAAGUCAUUGGCAGCCGGCAUAUUGGCCUGGGAGCGCAGCACAAGUCGCGCUUCUUGUCAUGAAUGUUGGCGUCCAGUAAGUCUACAUAUUUUGCUCUUGACCUCGGAUCAGGUAGGGAUACCCGCUGAACUUAAGCAUAUCAAUAAGCGGAGGA